GCCUCCCGAAGCACUGGGAUUACAGAAAUGUUCGCUGAUGCUUGCCCUAGAAGAUGGGAGAUCCACAGAUAGAAGGAGCCUGGUUUGUGAGUAGCAGCAUUGGAAGCUCAACAUGGCUGGCUGCUGGGAAUCUCCACGUGGGACUCUUCAUAAGGGAGAAAUGAACAGUUAGCAUAGUCGCGGAGGACAGUCAAAUGGGUAUUCAGCAAGUACCUUCCCAAGCUCCCUUGCAGCGAUGGUGGUCAUGUGACACAGACCUGGCCAUUGAGAUGUGAGCAUUGCUCUCCUCUCUCAGUGCAGUGCUGGAAAUGGGAUCACAUUCGUGGAGCUGCCCAGAGGGAUGCUUCAAGGAGAGGGCACGGUAUUCAUCCAGGAUCUGGGAUUCCCAAACAUCCUUCUGGUCAGCCAGUAUAUGGAGCAGUUGUUAAGCUUUGGAAUCAGACUUCCUGGCAUGAGAACAGACUAAUACACUAACUAAUGGAGGAACGACUUGAUUCAGAAAUGUAAAGAAAUGGGAUGGUUUGCCCCUCAGGAGUUCUAGAGCAGUUCCUGCCUGUGGCUCCAAUAAGAAUGUCAAGGUCACUGGAUUGCAUUUUAUGUGUUUUCUUUCCUAAUUUGAUUUUUGGAAUAGAUGCUGUGCUAUAUUUACAUCGCUCAAAAAAUCAAAACAACAUAAAAAGAUAUUUCCAAAAA
rnacentral:lncRNA from 1 species